CCUACGGGGGGCAGCAGUGAGGAAUAUUGGUCAAUGGGCUUACGCCUGAACCAGCCAAGUCGCGUGAGGGAAGACUGCCCUAUGGGUUGUAAACCUCUUUUGUCAGGGAGCAACGCCGGCUACGUGUAGCCGGACUGAGAGUACCUGAAGAAAAAGCAUCGGCUAACUCCGUGCCAGCAGCCGCGGUAAUACGGAGGAUGCGAGCGUUAUCCGGAUUUAUUGGGUUUAAAGGGUGUGUAGGCGGAAUGCCAAGUCAGCGGUAAAAUCGUGGGGCUCAACCUCGCUCCGCCGUUGAAACUGGCGGUCUUGAGUGGGCGAGAGGUAUGCGGAAUGCGUGGUGUAGCGGUGAAAUGCAGAGAUAUCACGCAGAACUCCGAUUGCGAAGGCAGCAUACCGGCGCCCAACUGACGCUGAAGCACGAAAGCGUGGGUAUCGAACAGGAUUAGAUACCCGAGUAGUC
rnacentral:rRNA from 1 species